rnacentral:rRNA from 1 species
UACGGAGGGUGCGAGCGUUGUCCGGAAUCACUGGGCGUAAAGGGCGCGUAGGCGGCCUGAUAAGUAGGGGGUGAAAUCCUGCGGCUUAACCGCAGGGCUGCCUUCUAAACUGUCAGGCUCGAGCACAGUAGAGGCAGGUGGAAUUCCCGGUGUAGCGGUGGAAUGCGUAGAGAUCGGGAAGAAUACCCGUGGCGAAGGCGGCCGACUGGGCCGUCUCCGACGCUGAUGCGCGAAAGCGUGGGGAGCAAACAGG